CAUAAACAUGCCUUGCAUACAUAUGCUACUUUUUUCCAAAAGUGUCUUCAUAAUAUCAUGGUGAAUAAAACACAAAGUUAUCUUUUUAAACAUAUUGAAUUCACGGAAGCCUUUUUUAUUCUGUAUUUUCUUUUUCAAUAGAUACCAAAAAUACAAUUAUUGUCAUGUCGGAGUCGGGACUUUUUUUUUUAAUAUUGAAAAGAAGUCUUUAUAUUUAAAAAGAAUGCCACCCUCUCAUCUAGCCUGGAGGAAAGAUGUUUUGGAGGCAUGAAAGACACACAUGAAAGUGAGAGGGAUUAGUGGGGGACUGUUCAGUGUAUACCUGAAAUAGUCCAUUUUAUUUUGCACUGGAAGAAGCUGGGGUUAAUACGAGCUCUGAGUGUACAAGUUUAAUGUAAAAUAAAGCAUCCUCAUCCUGCCCUUCUCAAGAGUGGCCCAACAUCAUUCUUAACUUAAGUAAACUCAAAGGGAGACAGUCCCAGGGACCUGUUUGGAGCUUCCGGGAUAGGUAGUUUAUCCACUGUCCCUCCAACAUAACGGUAGCUCUGAUUCCUGUAAAAGCGACAAUAUCGCCCUCUGUCAUGAUAAUUAGCAGUCAAAAGAGUCAUCCAUUUCUUUAUCAGCUCCAAAGAAGAAAGGGUAAAUGAUAAAGUAACAUCCUUGCCUAAAAUGGAUGAAAAUAAUGGCCAACUGCUUAUCUUUGUAGUGACUCAUUGCAUCAAGCUGACCUCUGAAUAGAGUAUGCAUAGGCUGUUUGUACAUUCUCCAUCAAAUGAUUAAGAAGUGAAAUGACAAUGACCAACCACUGUCCCUGACAUUUAUUAUAUAUGAACAGCAUUUAGGAGAUGAAAGACCAGGUAGCAGUGAAACAACUGUGAAGACGCAAGACUGAAAGCACCAACAGUGACAUUCAGCUGCUCAGUUAUGCCAGAAUAUGAUUAGUGCCCUCUCGUUUGAGACUUUAAUUUUAAUGUAGGCUCAAGACGGGAAAAGGCCACCAUCAUAUCAUGGUGAGAUGGAUAUUCAACUUGGAGUCAUAUGUCCUGGUUCUGAGUCGUUGCUCUGACAGUUAAAACUCGUUGAUCUUGAGCAAGUCAUGUAAUCUCCCAGAGUCUCAAUUUUCCCAUCUGUAAAUAGGAAAUAACAAGAAUUUCUCCUUCACUACUUUAGUUAGUUGUGUGGUUCAAUUGACAUAAUGAGUAUUGUAAAAGUAUUUCAUAAAAUGUAAAACAUCAUGCAGAUGUUUGCUACUAUCAUUGCAUUAAUCAUCAAUGACCUUACUUAGUCCAAAAUAGUGCUGCCCGGAUCAUGUCUUCACAACCUUUAAGUUCUGGCUUUGGAACAUCCCAAGUCCCCAUCGCCAGUAUAUAUUUACUGUAGAGCCCAAUAGUAGUCAUAUGACUUUAGCUUAAAGGUAAUUGCACAUACAUCUUUGCAGAUAUCUAUAAACAAAGAGUGGAGAGGAAAAUUGCCAAAAAGCUGGGGAGAGUCAAGUCUGCUAUUAAUGCAAAAAUCAUGACUUUUUGGUAAGGUCGAUAAUAAAGGGUUUUUAAAAGUUUUGGAAAAAUGGAGAUAUUGGAACCCUCAGGAAGCUUGUCACUAGGAGGGAAAAGUGCCCAAACAGUAGGUGAAAAAGGACGGCAGGGCACAAUGUGAGAGCCAUGAGAAGCUGCCAAGUGCUGCAAGUUGCCAACAGUGUGCAUGGAAGUUGUCAACAGUGUGCGUGGAAGUUCCCCUUGCUUUCUGGUAGAGCGUGGCGUAGAUGAUCAAAAAUCCCAUGUAAGGUAGGGGAAUGUUACUAAGUGUCUCAGAACUGAGGCCUUACCACCUUAGCAUCUUUAAUGGCUCCCAGAAUGCUCACUCUAGAGGUUACCAGCACCAUGUAUAAUUCUCGAGAACUCCCAUCUCUUCCACCUGCUUUGUCCUGCUCCAUACAUGAGGUCUUUUUGGUUCUAUAUUUGUUAAUAUUUGCAUUUUGGUUUCUGGUGCUCAGACUGCAACCCAGACAAUGCUGCCUUUGUGCUAUGGCUUUCUGGAUUGCAACCAUGAGCAUAAAGUUUCAUAUCCCAGUGCUCAGUUCAGGCCUGCCAGACCCACAGCAGUUUCCACAAAUGGCCACCACCACACACCCUCCACACCUGGGAAGAGAGAUCCUGCAGAGAUGUUUAUGAUGAUACAGGGUGGUAUCAUAAACUUGAUUAUGUAGGAGUUUACUCAGGACAGAAUGAAUCAUUUCCAUCAGUGAAACAGAGUUCCUGCUGUCCGCUUCUAGAUACCACCUGCAUGCCUUUGUCUGUGGACCCUUCCUUCAACUGAAAGCAAGAAGUGUAGCAUCUUCAGAUAUUUCUGUUGCUCUCCUGCCUCCCUCUUUCACUUAUAAGGACCCUUGUGAUUCCAUUGGGCCCACCUGGAAAUCCACUUUGGCCAUGUAAGGGUAGAGACAUUUGCUUAGAAUGAAAUGGAUUCCGAAAUAAUCACUUUCAUCUCCUAAAUGAGCCUACCCAGGAAGAAAAAGCUAUGAAGCCAUCAAUGCAACCCCCUCCCUGUUCCUCACCGAAGUAUUAAAACAAAAUGUUUGCAACCCAAGGACUUCAUUUCUGAGAGGCCUCUUCUUCUAGGUUCCAGGCACCGUGAAGAUACAAUGGCGACAAGAUAUUCCAGACUCUGUCCUCACAUAGUUUCAAGGCUAGUGAGAGAGACAGACAUUAAUCAAAUAAUAGAAGAAACAAAAAAAAUGAUUAUGAACUGAGAUCAGAAGUUCAGGGCUCUGCAGGAGCACAGAACAGGAGCCUCUCAGCUAUGCUGGGAUCUGAAGGUGUCUAACAGUGGUAUUGGAGACUGCGCGGCUCCUGAGCGAGGCUCCGGUAACAUCGAAGCAGAGGAAGCUUUGCUGCCUUCGGGGAUCAUCUUGUCAGUUAUGCAGCUUUCCAAUUUUACGGCUGAGAUCAAGAAUGAUUCCUUAAAGGCACAUGGGAAACACAAUGUGUCUUAGAAUGAAAUGUGGGAAAGUGGACGUGAAUUUGCUACAUGGCCAAUACUGUAGGGCUUUUCGCUGAGAUGGAGGUAGCUCUGUGCGGCAGUCCCGGAAGACUUUCACAAGAAGAGUUCAGACAGUAGAAAAUAAUCCUAAAUGAUUGUGCCAUGGGCUUCCAUUGAAAGACCCAUGGUCUGCUGCAAGCUCUUGGCCAGAAGAACCCGCCGUCAUCUUAUUGCUGUGUGGCUCCUGCCGUGUCGGAAAGGGCUGACGGGUCCUGGGGAACAUGCCUGGCAGUCUACUGCAGAGCAAUGGUGAAAAUAUGAAUCACUCCAUCUCCAGCACAACGUCUGGGAAGAAAGAAGGGGAAAAUGACUCACAGCCUGUUUGGAAUAUCAGGGGCCCAUAAGUGAGAAAUGAGGAGGGUCAGCACAGCAAAGUGUAUGUUUCUCACCGGGUGAAGGAUUUCCACGUAACAGGACUCACGGAAUGCAAAUGAAACUUGUACCUUAGAGAAGGGAACUUCUUUCUACUCCCCUAAACCUCUCAGUCGAAAACUUCAUUCUUCCAUUAAAAAAGAAUUGUGUUUUGUGAUUUAUAAAGUCUACUGCUUUUUCUUCAAGUUGAAUGUUAACGUUCUGCCUUGUGCCCUUAACUUAAUGGAUGUUCUCAAAACUGGCAGCUUUUCUUUCAUGCGGGAAGAAGGAAUAAUUCUGAAUUAAGAGCACUAAAAUAGGUUAAGGAUACAUUAUGUCAGAGGCUGUAGAUUGUUAACAAGCAAAGGAAGCACAAGUCAUAGGAUAUAAUACAAUUAAAGGCAACUGGGUAAGAUUGCCAGCCGUUCCAUCCCAAUGACUUCACCUGUUGAUGCCAGAGGUGACCCUUUCCAGUCUGUCUAAAAUUUGACAGGGUCCAAGGUGCUUUUCUAAUUUCUGAGUGAAUCACAAUUAGUGAGUAUAGUAGGUGCUGCGGGUGCCCCUCCUAUAUCUCAUUACCAGGCCCAUUUGCCCUUCUCCAGCUGUUGUGAGUUUUGGCUGCUAAUGAGCUACAGCUGCGCCCCCUCCAGAAAAUUGCUGAUGGCAGCUGUAUCUCCCAAGAGGUUAUGAUCCUCCAAUUAGGGGCAGCCAAUGAUUGAUGGAUAUGGGGCUACAAAUGGCUGGUCCCUUGCAUCAAAGGAGAGGUUCAUAAUUAAUUUUGUGGGAUGAUCCCAUGGAUCAGGUCAAGACUAGCCUUUAUAUGGGACCACAUCCUUGCUCAGCCCUUUCCUCUUCUGUCUCCUGCUUGUCAUACCCUCCCAUGAAGAGCUUUGCCUGAAGAGCACCCCUUCAAUAAACUUCAUGCACCAGAACUACUAUCUCAGGCUUGAUUCUAGGGUGUCCAGACCUACCACAGUGAGUUUGCCAAUAUAUUUUAACUUAUUUUGUCCUGAUGAGUUAAACAAUGCAAUAUCAUUGUUAACCAGAACUCCACUCUUGUUCUCUUUGAGGUCUGUUCUAUGGACCCUUCAUGAGCCAUUGUAACAGAAGAAGAAAAGUCCCUUCAGCUUAGUAGUGUUCUCUGUGCAGCCUUUAUGCAUCAGCCUACAUGGAAUAAGCAUGGUUGGCAAAGGAUCAAAGCCACAAAGGUUGGAAAUUUGAACUCAGUGACUGAUUCCUACUGCCUUCCUUACAAUUUUGGUAGUUCGUCUAGUAUUAACUCCAUUUAUAGCACUCCUUCUAAUAACUUGGCUUUUCAGGAUAGAAUGAUGUCCUGCCACCAUAGAAAUGAUUAUCAUGGCCUUAGUAUAUGGUAGCUAUCUGUGUGACAGAAAAGAUUUUCACCUGGAAUCAAAUAGUUCAUCCAAGUCUGAAAUGAUAUGUAUUGUCAGGGUCCUCUGUAAUUAGAAACAUGAUUGUGGAAAUGUCUGAAAAGUUGUACUGGUUUUAAGGAAAUUGGCUUAAAGCCCAUUCUAAUCUAGACAAAAAUUCUAUCAAAUUUGAAGGCUCCUUGUAUCGCUACCAGCUAGUGGUGUGAGGGUGGGCUGAUUCAGCAGGUGGAAGAAUGGUGAUUCUAGCUGACAGGUGCAGUCCUGGAGGAAAUGUCAGGUUGACCCUGCUGCUGAGAAAACCAGAGCAUACAGAGAGGUGAUGAAAAAGGACAUAGGGAGCAGAAAUAUUUUAAAGGCAUUAUUUCUGUUGGGUGGGGCAAGGAUACAUGAUCCCACAGUUGAAGUCUGACCCCUUCACAGACAUCAGAACUGUACUGUGAACCAAACACAAUGGCCAAAUAUGCUGACUGAUGCACCAAAUUGUAUAUUACUGAUUCUCAAUGCAAUAUUUUGGUCUAAAGAAAUUAGCUCUUUGUUUCCACCAUGUUAUUGCUUAUUUAUAAUCAAUAUCUCCUAAUUAAAUCUAAAACAGUCUUUCUAAAGCAAGCAGGUGCUUGCUAUUUUCUGUUGAGCUAUCUGAUGUUCAUUUUCUUCAUGUUCUUAAGUGAUUUUUUUCUGGAUUUGGAGAAGGUGAAGUUGUUAGCAUUUAGUCUUUGAAUGGGAUGCACCCAAAGGAAGGUCAGUACUGAAAAGUCAGGUAAUUCUUUUUAAGGUUACUUAAUUUAUGGCUUAUUUGUGAAAAACACAGAAUUUCACAUUCUAAGACUAUUUCCCAGGGAUUCCAUUUCAAACAAAAAAGCUUAGAACUUGCCGUUCAUAACUAAGAAAAUGGAGGUAAUGAUUGUUGCCACUAACGUUCUCAUUCAAAAUUAUUUCCCACUUGCCGCAUGAUUAUCAUACCACUUGAAAGGGUUGGAUAACACAGGAAGCCUCUCUGAAAGUCAGGCUCUUCAUAUCCUGUUUAAUAGGAGGGAAGCAAGACCUGGUGAGUCAAAAGAAUUACUUCAGAAAAUUGGAAUUUUUCCCGAUAACCCUCAUGCAUUUGAAACUAUCUCUGUCUAAAUGAAAAAUCUGUUACAUUUUUGAAAACAAGGAUGAUGGCAUUGACAAAAUGUUUGUCUUUAAGUUUUAUUAUCAGGCAAAAGUUGGGAAAGUAAAAAUAAAUUUCAAAUUUUACAGUCUAAUGUGCCGUGUUAUUGAAAUGUUUUAUUCUUUUAUGUUUAUAAGAUUUGUUGAGAGGAAAUUCAAUGGAAUUUGAAAUUUGAAAAUCUCAUGAGAAUAAAAUGUUGAUUUUUAU
rnacentral:lncRNA from 1 species